AUUGAACGCUGGCGGCGUGCCUAACACAUGCAAGUCGAGCGGUAACAGGUGUAGCAAUACAUGCUGACGAGCGGCGGACGGGUGAGUAACGCUUGGGAAUCUGCCUAUUAGUGGGGGACAACCCGGGGAAACUCGGGCUAAUACCGCAUACGCUCUACGGAGGAAAGCCGGGGACCGCAAGGCCUGGCGCUAAUAGAUGAGCCCAAGUCGGAUUAGCUAGUUGGUAGGGUAAGGCCUACCAAGGCGACGAUCCGUAACUGGUCUGAGAGGACGACCAGUCACACCGGAACUGAGACACGGUCCGGACUCCUACGGGAGGCAGCAGUGGGGAAUAUUGGACAGUGGGCGAAAGCCUGAUCCAGCGACGCCGCGUGGGUGAAGAAGGCCUGCGGGUUAGUAAAG
rnacentral:rRNA from 1 species